UAGGUCGUCCGUCCAUCUUGUGGGAGAC
rnacentral:sRNA from 1 species